rnacentral:rRNA from 1 species
CCCUUAGAUGUUCUGGGCCGCACGCGCGCUACACUGGUGCGUUCAACAAGUUUACAACCUUGACUGACAAAUCUGGGUAAUCUUUUGAAUGCGCACCGUGCUAGGGAUAGAUUAUUGCAAUUAUUAAUCUUGAACGAGGAAUUCCUAGUAAACGCAAGUCAUCAGCUUGCAUUGAAUACGUCCCUGCCCUUUGUACACACCGCCCGUCGCUCCUACCGAUUGAGUGGUCCGGUGAGGCUUUGGGAUCUGAGCGGAAAGAGCGUUUCGCUGUUUCUGCCCGGAAAACUCAGUCGAACCUUAUCAUUUAGAGGAAGGAGAAGUCGUAACA